rnacentral:rRNA from 1 species
AACGGUAAGGCCCUUCGGGGUACACGAGUGGCGAACGGGUGAGUAACACGUGGGUGAUCUGCCCUGCACUUCGGGAUAAGCCCGGGAAACUGGGUCUAAUACCGGAUAGGACUGCGCGGUGCAUGCCGUGUGGUGGAAAGAUUUAUCGGUGCAGGAUGGGCCCGCGGCCUAUCAGCUUGUUGGUGGGGUAAUGGCCUACCAAGGCGACGACGGGUAGCCGGCCUGAGAGGGCGACCGGCCACACUGGGACUGAGACACGGCCCAGACUCCUACGGGAGGCAGCAGUGGGGAAUAUUGCACAAUGGGCGCAAGCCUGAUGCAGCGACGCCGCGUGAGGGAUGACGGCCUUCGGGUUGUAAACCUCUUUCAGCAGGGACGAAGCGUGAGUGACGGUACCUGCAGAAGAAGCACCGGCCAACUACGUGCCAGCAGCCGCGGUAAUACGUAGGGUGCAAGCGUUGUCCGGAAUUACUGGGCGUAAAGAGCUCGUAGGCGGUUUGUCGCGUCGUCUGUGAAAACCAGCAGCUCAACUGUUGGCUUGCAGGCGAUACGGGCAGACUUGAGUAUUUCAGGGGAGACUGGAAUUCCUGGUGUAGCGGUGAAAUGCGCAGAUAUCAGGAGGAACACCGGUGGCGAAGGCGGGUCUCUGGGAAAUAACUGACGCUGAGGAGCGAAAGCGUGGGUAGCGAACAGGAUUAGAUACCCUGGUA